rnacentral:rRNA from 1 species
AACAGGAUUAGAUACCCUGGUAGUCCACGCUGUAAACGAUGUCGACUUGGAGGUUGUGCCCUUGAGGCGUGGCUUCCGGAGCUAACGCGUUAAGUCGACCGCCUGGGGAGUACGGCCGCAAGGUUAAAACUCAAAUGAAUUGACGGGGGCCCGCACAAGCGGUGGAGCAUGUGGUUUAAUUCGAUGCAACGCGAAGAACCUUACCUACUCUUGACAUCCAGAGAAUUUGCUAGAGAUAGCUUAGUGCCUUCGGGAACUCUGAGACAGGUGCUGCAUGGCUGUCGUCAGCUCGUGUUGUGAAAUGUUGGGUUAAGUCCCGCAACGAGCGCAACCCUUAUCCUUUGUUGCCAGCACGUAAUGGUGGGAACUCAAAGGAGACUGCCGGUGAUAAACCGGAGGAAGGUGGGGAUGACGUCAAGUCAUCAUGGCCCUUACGAGUAGGGCUACACACGUGCUACAAUGGCAUAUACAAAGAGAAGCGAACUCGCGAGAGCAAGCGGACCUCAUAAAGUAUGUCGUAGUCCGGAUUGGAGUCUGCAACUCGACUCCAUGAAGUCGGAAUCGCUAGUAAUCGUAGAUCAGAAUGCUACGGUGAAUACGUUCCCGGGCCUUGUACACACCGCCCGUCACACCAUGGGAGUGGGUUGCAAAAGAAGUAGGUAGCUUAACCUUCGGGAGGGCGCUUACCACAUUGUGAUUCAUGACUGGGGUGAAGUCGUAACAAGGUAACC